rnacentral:rRNA from 1 species
AGAGCGAACGCUGGCGGCAGGCCUAACACAUGCAAGUCGAACGGAUCCUUCGGGAUUAGUGGCGGACGGGUGAGGAACACGUGGGAACGUGCCUUUUGGUUCGGAACAACUCAGGGAAACUUGAGCUAAUACCGGAUAAGCCCUUCGGGGGAAAGAUUUAUCGCCAUUAGAGCGGCCCGCGUCUGAUUAGCUUGUUGGUGAGGUAAAGGCUCACCAAGGCUACGAUCAGUAGCUGGUCUGAGAGGAUGAUCAGCCACACUGGGACUGAGACACGGCCCAGACUCCUACGGGAGGCAGCAGUGGGGAAUCUUGCGCAAUGGGCGAAAGCCUGAUGCAGCAACGCCGCGUGGGGGAUGAAUGCCUUCGGGUUGUAAACCCCUUUCAGCAGGGACGAAUCUGACGGUACCUGCAGAAGAAGCCCCGGCCAACUACGUGCCAGCAGCCGC